AUUGAACGCUGGCGGCAUGCCUUACACAUGCAAGUCGAACGGUAACUGGUCUUCGGAUGCUGACGAGUGGCGAACGGGUGAGUAAUACAUCGGAACGUGCCUAGUAGUGGGGGAUAACUACUCGAAAGAGUGGCUAAUACCGCAUGAGAUCUACGGAUGAAAGCAGGGGAUCGCAAGACCUUGUGCUACUAGAGCGGCCGAUGGCAGAUUAGGUAGUUGGUGGGAUAAAAGCUUACCAAGCCGACGAUCUGUAGCUGGUCUGAGAGGACGAUCAGCCACACUGGGACUGAGACACGGCCCAGACUCCUACGGGAGGCAGCAGUGGGGAAUUUUGGACAAUGGGCGCAAGCCUGAUCCAGCAAUGCCGCGUGCAGGAUGAAGGCCUUCGGGUUGUAAACUGCUUUUGUACGGAACGAAAAGCCCUGGGUUAAUACCCUGGGGUCAUGACGGUACCGUAAGAAUAAGCACCGGCUAACUACGUGCCAGCCGCCGCAGUAAUAC
rnacentral:rRNA from 1 species